rnacentral:rRNA from 1 species
GACGAACGCUGGCGGCGUGCCUAAUACAUGCAAGUAGAACGCACAGUUUAUACCGUAGCUUGCUACACCAUAGACUGUGAGUUGCGAACGGGUGAGUAACGCGUAGGUAACCUGCCUGGUAGCGGGGGAUAACUAUUGGAAACGAUAGCUAAUACCGCAUAAUAUUGAUUAUUGCAUGAUAAUUAAUUGAAAGGUGCAAUUGCACCACUACCAGAUGGACCUGCGUUGUAUUAGCUAGUAGGUGAGGUAACGGCUCACCUAGGCGACGAUACAUAGCCGACCGGAGAGGGGGAUCGGCCACACGGGGACUGAGACACGGCCCAGACCCCUACGGGAGGCAGCAGUAGGGAAUCUUCGGCAAGGGACGAAAGUCUGACCGAGCAACGCCGCGUGAGGGAAGAAGGGUUUCGGAUCGUAAAGCUCGGUUGUAAGAGAAGAACGGGUGUGAGAGUGGAAAGUUCACACUGUGACGGUAUCUUACCAGAAAGGGACGGCUAACUACGUG